CUUCGCCGCAGGGGGCCCGCCCGCUGGCUGGUUUCCGGUCCGGUGGGUGCAAGAUGACGGAGCCGGGCGCCUCUCCCGAGGACCCUUGGGUCAAGGUGGAGUAUGCCUACAGCGACAACAGCCUGGACCCCGAUGACGAGGACAGUGAUUACCACCAGGAGGCCUACAAGGAGUCUUACAAAGACCGGCGGCGGCGCGCACACACUCAGGCUGAGCAGAAGAGGAGGGACGCCAUCAAGAGAGGCUAUGAUGACCUUCAGACCAUCGUCCCCACUUGCCAGCAGCAGGACUUCUCCAUUGGCUCCCAAAAGCUCAGCAAAGCCAUCGUUCUACAAAAGAGUAUGGCUAAGGAAAGCACUGGAGGGGCUGGAGCCAAGAGGGGCUGUGAAGAGGCCAGCGCCUCCUACCCACCCAUGGCUCGGCCUUGGUGUGGUGAUUGCCAUGGGAUAGUUGGGGUCUGGGGGAAGGGGAACAAAGUCAACCUUAUCUUCUGGGUUGAGAAUACUUCUGUACCUGUCCUUUUUUCUUGCCCCCACCCUAGCCAUUGACUACAUUCAGUUUUUGCACAAGGAGAAGAAAAAGCAGGAGGAGGAGGUGUCUACGUUACGCAAGGAUGUCACAGCCCUAAAGAUCAUGAAAGUGAACUAUGAGCAGAUUGUGAAGGCACACCAGGACAACCCCCAUGAAGGGGAGGACCAGGUCUCUGACCAGGUCAAGUUCAACGUGUUUCAAGGCAUCAUGGAUUCCCUGUUCCAGUCCUUCAAUGCCUCCAUCUCAGUGGCCAGCUUCCAGGAGCUGUCAGCCUGUGUCUUCAGCUGGAUUGAGGAGCACUGUAAGCCUCAGACCCUGCGGGAAAUUGUGAUUGGCGUCCUGCACCAAUUGAAAAACCAGCUUUACUGACCGGUUCUUGGAAACCUGCAGAACAGCCAACAAGAGGCCCUUGAAUCUCUACUUGGCCACUGAACUGCUGGGCCCAGGAGAUUGGACUACAACACCUCACACUGGUCAGCUGGUUUCUACUUGGUGUUUGGUUUUCCCAGCCCCAUUUUAUCUUCAGCGGAGCUGCGGUGUUUGUUUUGUGAAAGCUUCUGAUUAAUUUAUUAUAUUGACGAUAAAACUCAAACCUACCCAGCCUUCCCCCCACUCCAUGGAAGUCCUUGGGAUGGGAGUCUGCUCUGGACACCCCAAAGAGGUCCUGCCCUCUCAGCCCUUUCUUCAAGCCUCAGAUUUCUGCUCAUGAGCUACAUAGAUUUGGAAACUGUUUUCCACUGUUUUCCUCUGUUUUGGUCUCUUGGGCAACAUCUGGCCCAAGUUGGGGCAUUUUGGCAGUAGCUGUAUGGGAGAAAAAGAGUAAGAGGAAAUACUCCCCCAGCCAUGAAGGGUGAAAGGGCACCUUGUGCCUAGACUAGGGCUGCCUGGUCAGUUCCAGGUGAGGCCAAGGGCUUUCUGGCCAUCUCAGGGAGGGGCCACCAGGUUCCUCCCCUCACCCCAUAUUCCAUCACCUUCCUCCUCUGCUCUGGGUGAUAAGGGAAGCCCUCCCGGUUCCCACAGGCUGUGAUGCUGCACGGCAGAGGCAGGUGUAACACAGCACUACAUAUUGGAAAUUUUUAAUUUUUCUAAAUACCAAUGCAGUUUUGCUACGGUUACAAUUUUGAAAUAUUAACUGGGCCUCAAAAUCACCCUUUCUGUCAAGCAUAUCUUGGCCUCUCCCAUGUCUCAGUGUUGCCUGCAUUUCUCCCAGGACUUGGGGGUGGGGUGAAAAGCGUACAAAAGAUAUUCAAAAGGGCUCCUGGGGUACACAAGCCCAGCAGGUCCUGAGUGAAGCCGUGGGCCCUCCAAAUGCUCGUUUUAUAGCAACCUCUCUUUACCCUAGUUCUCCAAGUUUACUUCUGCCUUCCUCAGGUUUGAUAUCUGGCAGGUUUGACUAUCCAGAGGAAAUUAAAUAUUUUUAUAUCAAAUUAAAUUAUAAUAAAUAUUGCCAAAUGCUUUCCUUUAGCAUUGUUCCAAGUCUAAAUGUUAACCUCAAGCUACUGCAGUUUAGACAAUGAAAUGGGCUGGGCCUACCCCCAGCCACCAGCCCUCAUCCUCCACCCAGUGCUCUGGUUUAUGCCUGUCUCCUGACUGCUCUGCUUAAAGGUGAAAAGUAGCAGGAACAACAACAAAAGCCAACCAAAAACAAGGUAGCCAGUGCAAGACAUCUCACUCUUCUGACAUCCUGCAGUCCCCACCAGUCCCGACCGUGGGCCCCUCAGGGGUCUGGGAGUGUGACGUUGUAAUCUUCAUCCGUCUCUAUCCCAACUUCCUCCUGUGGGACAGGGAGACAAGUGAAUGAGACGUCACCAGGAUAAGACCACAGGGAAGCAAAGAAAGAAGAGAGUACCACUUACAAAGAACUGCUUCUUGCUCUUGGGGUAUCCUUCAAGUAUUGCAUCAGACAGCUCUGUAGCCUGACAAGAAAUAAAACCACCCGUUUUCAGAUGGGCAGCACUGGGCACUGCCUGUCAGUUUAUGAUACUGUGU
rnacentral:sRNA from 1 species